rnacentral:rRNA from 1 species
UACAGAGGGUGCGAGCGUUAAUCGGAAUUACUGGGCGUAAAGCGCGCGUAGGCGGCUUUGCAAGUCGGGUGUGAAAUCCCCAGGCCUAACCUGGGAACUGCAUUCGAGACUGCAUGGCUAGAGUAUCGGAGAGGGAAGUGGAAUUUCAGGUGUAGCGGUGAAAUGCGUAGAUAUCUGAAGGAACAUCAGUGGCGAAAGCGGAUCACUGGCCCGAUACUGACGCUGAGGCACGAAAGCGUGGGGAGCAAACAGG